rnacentral:lncRNA from 1 species
UAGAGAUAUAAAAGUAAGGGAUAAUUGCCUAUAUAUCCCCUCAAAGUUUCGAAAAUAUCUCACUUACCUUUUCUUUUUUUUGUUCUUUUCAAUAUACCCCUCAAAUGUUCCUCCGUUAUUCAAAAAUACCGCUACAGUUACCAUCUGUUAAGUUAGCUUGAAUUAAACGUGAGUUAAAUAUCUACCACAGUUUAAAAAAAUAAAUUAAAAUACCUAUUUUGCCCUUAAUUUAAGGGCAAAAUCAGAAAUAUUAAGGGCAAAAUAGUAAUUUUACAGAGAUAACAGUUAUUGCUAGCCGUUCAUUAAUGAAAUUUAACUCUAGGGUAUAUUUGAAAUAAGUUGGAACGUAAAAAUUUUUUUUUUAAUAUUAGUCUUCUAAAAAAGGUAAAUCAGAAAGUCGAAAACUUUUCAAAGGUAUAUAAGCAAUUG